CAGCCUCUUCUGGAAAAGCUUGGGAAAGCAUUUCUGCAUUCCAUGAGGGUCACCAGAUCUGUCAGUUCAAGGCAGAGGAAUAGUCCAGAGCAGGGGUUGGCAACCUCUGGCACGCGGCUUGCCAAGCAACUUCCACCGUUAUGGAUUCCACAUCACUUCACAAAAAUGAAGCCUCACAACCCCCUUGUGAGACAAGCCUAUGGAAUAACUAAGAGACCUGAGAAGAGAUGAUGCUCUGUAACAGAAGUGAAGCAACAAAAUAUAUUGACUGUUGAGG